AUACAAUCUGUUCUCUUUCGUUGUUUGGUUUGUGCAGGCACAGGCUUGCUGCAGGAAGUGGUAUAUCUAGUGAGUCAGGGAGCUGAUCCAGAUGAGAUUGGACUAAUGAAUAUAGAUGAACAACUUCCAGUCCUAGAGUACCCUCAGCCUGGUCUGGACAUCAUCAAGGAACUGACAUCUCCUCGCCUCAUAAAAAGCCACCUGCCAUAUCGGUUCUUGCCUUCUGACCUCCAUAAUGGCAAUUCAAAGGUAAUAUACAUGGCUCGCAACCCCAAAGACCUGGUGGUGUCUUAUUACCAGUUUCACCGCUCCCUAAGGACCAUGAGCUACAGAGGGACCUUUCAGGAGUUCUGCAGAAGGUUUAUGAAUGACAAGUUAGGAUAUGGUUCGUGGUUUGAGCAUGUGCAGGAAUUUUGGGAACAUCACAUGGAUGCCAACGUACUUUUUCUUAAGUAUGAAGAUAUGCACAAGGACCUAGCAACAAUGGUUGAGCAACUGGUGAGGUUCUUAGGAGUUUCUUACGACAAAGCACAGUUGGAAUCCAUGGUGGAACACUGCCAUCAGCUCAUCGAUCAGUGCUGUAACGCGGAAGCACUUCCCGUGGGCAGGGCACAUUGAUCUUUACUCUGAAGAUAAGCCUGAGCUGCUGUGAAAGCAGAGCAAUGAUUAGAUAUGUUACUUAUAUUUGACUCUUAUCACAUCAUAAUUUACACAGUUGCAUGAUUCAAAUCAUAAACCAGGACGAGUUGGGCUAUGGAAAGACAUCUUCACUGUUUCAAUGAAUGAGAAAUUUGAUUUAGUUUAUAAACAGAAGAUGGGAAAAUGUGACCUCACGUUUGAUUUUUAUUUAUAAGAAAUGCAUGCAUAUGAUAUCCAAAUAUAGCUAGAAGUGCUUUAUGCAUUCAUUUAUUACCUGCUGGACAAACUACCGUAGCUAUUAUGUGUAACAAGAUUUAAAGAAAGAAAAACAAUCUAAGUAAACCAUAUCAGAUACAAUUAUCUUUGGUCCUAAACAGCUGUUUAUCUUCUAGUAUUUUAAUCCUUUGUCCACAUGCAAGAACUUCCUCGGCAGUACUAGAAUAUUCAGCUGUUACGGAAUGUAUUAUAUACGUAUAAGGUAUGUAUCAUAUAUGCAACUAGAAUGUACACCUUUUCAGCCCCACAUCGAUUAUUUAAUGUGUUUUAUAAAAGCUUUUCACUAGAACCUAAGUAAAUGUCCGUAAACCAAAUAAAAAAUUAUUUCAGAGGGGAAGAAGUAACAGGCCAAAACUGUAUGCUAGAAUGAUCUCAGGGGUUAAUCGUCACAUUUAUUUUUAUAGCAGGUGUAUCAAGUAUAAAUAGAUCCCAUUCCAAAAUAGUAACGGAUCGAAGUGGGGUUCACAUUCGGCUCUGUGCGCCCUCAUCUGUGACACCUGGCAGUCCUGCGCUGGUACCCCAGGGCUGUGCGGUGGAGCUGGGCUUGGCCCCAGUGCCCAGCCUGCCCCGGCCCCCUGC